rnacentral:lncRNA from 1 species
UCGAAUCAAACUCCUAAGGAAAACUACUAGAGCUAGCACCAGACUACCAGAGCAGCAUCUCCCUUCUGACGCUACACUCCAGUGCCUCGCUAGACUCCACACACCUUGCUAAAGAUGGCCGCCGGUCUCGUCAAGCCGUCGUGGGCGUGCAUUGCCAUCAUCGUCUUAAUCGUCACGUCGUCCAGCGGCGCGGCGACCGGCGAGGCGAGGAGGCUGCUGGUUGCGGAGAAACACGCGGUCGAGGGAUCAUGCGCCGGUGGUUGCCGUCCUCUGGUGCAAGGUCUCACGGCGACAACCACCAGCAAGAUGGCGACCACCGACGGGCGGCCCACGGCUCCCGGACACAGCCCAGGCAUUGGCAACAAGAUCGCUGGCAACACCCGUUGAAAUGAAUAUACUCCCUCCAUUCCAAAUUAUAAAUCCACUAAUUCAUCGAUCGAUCGAUCAAUCAUCAUGACCAUCAUCAUUUGCGCGCGUUCCUUCGUUACGCAGUCCAGGGAUCGGCAAACAAGAUCGCUGGCAACACCCAGCCCGUUGAAAUAUACAUCAUCAACGAGAAGCCUUUAUUUGCUUGAUGUACAUGCAUGUUUCUUUGUUUUAAUUUCCUUGUGGUUGUACAUGAGAUAGUGCAUCGAUCAUGAACUUGUAAUGCAAAUUUCCUUUUCCUUUUCCUUUCCCUUUCUUUUGUAAUAAAGUUACUCAUGUUUUGUACGGCCCCCGUCUCUUUAUUUGUGUAUAAAAAAAAUACUCUAUGUUCCUCUC